GGUGAUGGACAGUUCUGGUGGAAACAGGAGAGUUGAGGUGCACAUUGAAUUCUGCCGUGAUUUGAUCAGCCGUGGUUUUAUGUUUUUUUUGGAUACAAUCUGGGUUAGCACCCGAACAUCCCUUUCAGACAGCUUCCUCUUACAGCGUCCACAGUUAAUCCUGUUGGAUGUGGUUGGUCCUUCUUGGUGGUAUGCUGACA